rnacentral:lncRNA from 1 species
CACACUAUAUAUAUCUCAAUAAAAUAAUAUUGCCCCAAACAACGCCCCAAAUAAAGCAAAUAGGAUACAUCAAACUUCUUCAGAAAAAGAAAAAAAAGGCACAUCAAACAGACUUCAAACGUCAUACAAUCAAUCUCCUAAUUGUAUUCUUUGUUAAACGUUUAAAUUACUUCAUAGUAUAAUAAUCCAACAUAAUUCAAGUUCUUUUCUCAAAAAAAAAAAAAAAAAAACCAUAAUUCAAGUUUUCUUUUUCAAAAACCUGAAACUCAGAUUUGUAAUAUCAAUUACUUUGGUGCCAAAGAACCAUUCUCGAUCUUGGUUUUUACCGUAAACAAAUCAUGCACAGUCACAAGUAUGUAUACGAAAAGAAAAUUGUAUAUUUAAAAAUAAAUAAAAGUAUAAGAAGGCAAUCAAAGCAGAAUUAUGAGUACCGGCAUAGGAAUCCCCAAAUGACUAAUAAUCUCAGUGCCAUUAAUUUUCAAUCUCAGGUGCCAAACAGAUUCUUUACCAUUGAUAACUAUUUGAAAAAGCUUGUUUUACCAUUAUUUGCAUGAGAUUUAUAUAAUCUUUGACCCUUUUCAAGUGAUAUAAGAACACCCAAGAAUCUAAUCUUCCACAGGCAUCUUUACUGUCUCAUCAAUCAAAGAAAAAGAGAUUAUUAGUACCAGCAAAUAUAAUCUAAGAAAACACGGAUGGGAUUAUCCAUAGAUCUGAGUCACAAACCAUUAAACCAAUCGGAGAAUCUCAAUCUCCAAACAUCUUUGCUCUUGGUCCAAAGUAAUUAUGUUUUCUCGCUCAAAAGAAUCUGUAAAAAAUUAGAGAAAAACCGAGAACAAGUCUGUAUAAUUCUGAUAGAAAAUGCCCAAUCGCCUCGUUCUCAAUAAAUGAAUUUUUGAACUUUUUUGGGAAAUGGAGAAAACUAUACAAUCAGAAGAAGAGGAAUUGGCAUCAGAAAAAAAAAUUCAGAACAAGAAGAAUCGGAAUCAGAACAAGAAUUCAGAAGAAGAAAAAGUAGAAAAUCAGAACCGGAAUUCAGGAGAGGAACAAGAAGGAGGAGAAUCUUAAAAGAAGAAAAAAAGUCAGAAAUCAGAAGAAAAGAAGAAGAAAUCUAAA